rnacentral:rRNA from 1 species
UACAGAGGGUGCAAGCGUUAAUCGGAAUUACUGGGCGUAAAGCGCAUGUAGGUGGUUGCAUAAGUUUGAUGUGAAAGCCCCGGGCUUAACCUGGGAAUUGCGUUGAAGACUGUGGAACUAGAGUCGGACAGAGGGUCGUGGAAUUUCCGGUGUAGCGGUGAAAUGCGUAGAGAUCGGAAAGAACACCAGUGGCGAAGGCGGCGACCUGGGUCCAGACUGACACUGAGGUGCGAAAGCAUGGGGAGCAAACAGG